rnacentral:rRNA from 1 species
UUCGCAAUGCCCGAAAGGGUGACGAAGCGACGCCGCGUGGGUGAGGAAGGCCCUCGGGUUGUAAAGCCCUGUCAGGAGUUAAGAAAUGUAGAUACGCUAAUAUCGUAUCUAUUUGACAAAGGCUCCAAAGGAAGCCACGGCUAACUCUGUGCCAGCAGCCGCGGUAAUACAGAGGUGGCAAGCGUUGUUCGGAAUUAUUGGGCGUAAAGAGCACGUAGGUGGAUUUGUAAGUCAGAUGUGAAAGCCUUCUGUUCAACGGAAGAAUUGCAUCUGAAACUACAAACCUUGAGUAUAGGAGGGGAGAAUGGAACUUCUGGUGGAGCGGUGAAAUGCGUAGAUAUCAGAAGGAACGUCGGCGGCGAAAGCGACUCUCUGGCCUAUUACUGACACUGAGUGUGCGAAAGUUAGGGGAGCAAACGGGAUUAGAUACCCCGGUAGUCCUAACUGUAAACGAUGGGCACUAAGUAGAGGGGUUUU